UCCACGCCGUAAACGAUGAUAACUCGUUGUUGGCGAUACACAGUCAGCGACCAAGCGAAAGCGAUAAGUUAUCCACCUGGGGAGUACGAUCGCAAGGUUGAAACUCAAAGGAAUUGACGGGGGCCCGCACAAGCGGUGGAGCAUGUGGUUUAAUUCGAUGAUACGCGAGGAACCUUACCUGGGCUUAAAUGCAGAGUGACAGAUCCUGAAAGGGAUUUUUCUUCGGACAGUCU
rnacentral:rRNA from 1 species